UGCCUCAACCUCCCCAGCAGCUGGGACUACAGGUGCCCGCCACCACGCCCGGCUAAUUUUUUUGUAUUUUUAGUAGAGACGGGGUUUCACCGUGUUAGCCAGGAUGGCCUCGAUCGCCUGGCCUCGUGAUCUGCCCGCCUCGGCCUCCCAAAGUGCUGGGAUUACAGGCGUGAGCCACCGCGCCCGGCCGGAUUAAUUGCAUAUCUAAGGUGAGGCCCGGGGCUCUACGUUCACCAUGGUCCCCUCAUUAAAAGCUGUGAAGUCAAACACCAAGACCCAGAGAAUUUAAUACUAAUACGUGGCCCAAGUUAGACAGCAAGUGCAUGACAAAGAUAGAACAUGACCUUAGCGCCACCCAAAUACAAAGGACAGACUCUUCUCAGGCACAUUGCGUCUGAGGCCUGUGAGGUCGCUGGGCCUGUCAGGAGGCCUGGCUUCCUCCCGCUCCCUGCUCCUUCUCAGAUUCUGUCAUGAUCAACUUCCCAGGAAACUCGAAUGUUCUAUUUUAUUUCAGGAACUAAAAAUAAGGAAGAUUCUCUGACAAAAUUGCAUGAAAUGCAUCCUGUCCUUCUUUCUCAUUUCAAGCAUGAAUGAACUCGGUGUGAGGAGACUAAGCCAGGCGGCAGGGGUCUAGCAUUUCCCGCCUGUGGGUGCAGGAGGCAGACAUCUUAAUUUUUAGAGCUGCUCUGUAGGCACUUUACAGCUUCCUCUUCUAGCUGCUCAGGCCAUAAAUCUCUAGACUGCCAGGCUCCAAACUCAUGGGGAAUGUCCUGCACCCCAGCAGCAAGUCCUGCAAACACAACACUGGGUCAUACGUGGCCCAUAAAUAACGCGCACGUUGAGCCUCAACCUCAGCUGGUGAGGUCUGCUGUCCGGAGGCCGUGGACUUGCGAAGGCCUGAAUGAGCCCCUCCAGACUGCCCAAGACAGAGGGUGACACUUCCUGGUGGUGGAGAACCCGGCAGCAUCAGCAUCAGGUUAGACAGAAACAGCAACAAGGAUAAAUCCUGCAGGAAAAUAGGGAGAGCCUGAUGGGAUAGGACCGCCCAGUGCUGCAAGCUUGUGCCUUUUCUGGAUACUUCCAUGGUGCAGGUCACUGCAGUCUGGGAAGUGCCUGCUUGGCCCUGUCCCAUAGCAGGCACUCGGCCACCUUGCUGAGAGUGAGGAGACGGAGCUCACAGGCUGGGCAGAGAGACACAGAGACCCAACGGCUGGGGAGGGGAACACUGCCCCCCAAGUCUGAGGGAGUGUGAGGUUGUGGGGAAAUUGUUGGAGGAGCCUGCGGAUAUGCAUGGGGCCCACAGCCCCUGCCCAGGGCACCUGCAUCUUCCAUCAGCCUGGGCAUGGAGAGUGACCCCGCCACCAAGCCCAGCCCUGCUCUGAGCCUUGGAGUGUUGGGUUCAGGACAGUGAGGAGACCAGGCCCACUUCUCCUGCCGCUUCAGGGUCUUGGGGUGUAGUCCUUACCAGACACUAUACUUCUGUACCUAAUCGUACAGGGGCAAGUGGAGUUGACAGAGGGUCAUGAGCAGGCAUGAUUGCUGGCCUAGAGCACUGACUGCGCAUGUGCCCUGCAUCAGGGUCUCCUGUGGUCCAAACGUGUCUCCUCCAGAAUCCAAAUGUUGAAACUCAAGGCCUAUCGUCAUGGCGUUGGGAGGUGGGGCUUUGAGAGGUGAUUAGGCCCUGAGGGCUCCUCUCUUGUGAAUAGGAUGAAGGCCUUCAUAAAAGAGGCUUCACAUAGGGUUUGGCAUCUUUCUUUUCCGUCUCUCCUCAUGUGAGGACACAGUGUUCCUCACCUUCAGAGGACACAGCAUCGAGGCACCAUCUUGGAAGGAGAGAACAGCCUUCCCCAGACACUGAACCGCUAGUGCCUUGAACUUGGAUUUCCCAGCCUCCAGAACUAUGUGAAACUAGUUUCUGUUCUUUAUAAAUUAUCCAGUCUCGGGUAUUUGUUGUAGCAGCACAAAUGAACUAAGACAUGAUCUUAGCAUGCACUGAGCCCAUGGUUUUCCUGUAAAAUGAAAAUAUUUGCACCUAUCGCAGGGGCUGUUAUGAGGCCUGGAGAUAAUGUGCCAACAACUAGCAGAUAGUAGGAGCACUGCUGAUGGUGGUUACCAGGGCGAUGAAGCCUAGCUCUCCAGUCGGGCUUAAGGACACACUCAUGCAGAUGGGAUUCUUAGGACUCCUCCAAGUCAUUUCUAACACAUGGAACUUGUGGGUUAUUUCCCCUUCAUUUCAGGUCCUCUAUCGAGGGAACCUGGGUCCUGGGACAAAGCUGCCACUAUGGCCAUGGGAGGAAGCACUGAGCAGGGAGGGGAAGCGGAGACAGCCCAGUCUCUCCCUUAACAGAGCAGCCCUGACAGCUGGCAUCAGACAGUGCCCGUGACGAGGUCAGGGCCACUAGGCAACACUUUUCAGAUGGAAAAGCUGAGACACAGAGAAGUUCCUUGAGUUGCCUGAGAUCACAGAGCAGCAGGGCCAGGACCCGGUCCCAGGAAGUUCCACUGCAGGCCCGGCUCUAACCCUCAUCACUGUGGUGGUGGCCUUCAGUUUGAGUUGGGUCAGAAUGAUCAGGUCAUCAUUUUAUAAACCAGAGAAGAAAAUCGUUUCCAUUAAUGCUGAAUAUUGGUGCCACUGAAGUUAUAAUACCCUGUUGCUGAUGCCACUGUAGAAGGCUAUGUUGU
rnacentral:lncRNA from 1 species